GUGCUCACUUGGGCAGCACAGUUCGUAAAAUUGGAAUGAGACAGAGAAAUUAGCCUGGUCCCUGUGCAAAGAUGACACAAAUUGGUAAAGCGUUCUGUAUUAAA
ensembl:snRNA U6 U6 spliceosomal RNA